rnacentral:rRNA from 1 species
GACGAACGCUGGCGGCGUGCUUAAUACAUGCAAGUCGAACGAGUGGCGGACGGGUGAGUAACACGUGGGAACCUACCCAGCAGAGGGGGAUAACUACUGGAAACGGUAGCUAAUACCGCAUACCAUCGGAUGUGCCCAGAUGGGAUUAGGGUGUAGGUGAGGUAACGGCGCACCUAGGCUACGAUCCCUAGCUGGUCUGAGAGGAUGCCCAGCCACACUGGGACUGAGACACGGUCCAGACUCCUACGGGAGGCAGCAGUGGGGAAUAUUGCACAAUGGGCGCAAGCCUGAUGCAGCCAUGCCGCGUGUAUGAAGAAGGCCUUCGGGUUGUAAAGUACUUUCAGCGGGGAGGCGUUACCCGCAGAAGAAGCACCGGCUAACUCCGUGCCAGCAGCCGCGGUAAUAC